UCCCUGGUGGCUUAGUGGUAAAGAAUCUGCCUGCUAUGCAGGAGACCCAGGUUCGAUCCCUGGGUUGAGAA
rnacentral:tRNA from 1 species